CACAAGUUCAACACACACAAUUUCCUUGGUUAUCCCUGAAAGAAGCAAGCAAAGAGAACGAAAAGGGGAAUGAGGGGAAAGGGAGACCCGGAGGAAGAAAGAGCACCGGGCAAGCAGCAGCUCGCUGGCUAGCCGCGCUCUGCCGCCACGUCUAGCUCGCCGUCGAUCAUGCUCCCGUCUGCCACCACCACCGCGCCGAUUGCGCCGUCGCUAGGGAGGACAGAAUCGAGAAGGGGUUGGCUCGUGAAUGUGGGUGGUCGCGGGCUCGGAGCCGCCGCGUCUCCAUCACCACCGCGUCCACGCCGUGCCGCCGCCUCUGUUCGCCACACCGUCCCUCCUAGCCACGUCGUCGCCAGUCACGCGAGAGAGAGACGCACCGUGAGGAGGGUAGCCACCGCGCUCAGCCACCAUCACUUCCUGUUACCAUCGAGGCUCGCGUCGCUGUCACUCAUGGCCGUCGCUCCUACUGUGCUCCAUUCGGGUUCUGGGUUGAGCGCGCCGCUGUCACCAUUGGAAGUCGUUGCUGAGGCCGGGUUGCUAUGGUGGUUGCUGUCCUUGUCAGUAGCGGGAGAGGAUAAGACGCGAUGAUGGUGGGUGGUUCCCUCGCCCUUGCUGCCGUGUCGUCAGAAUCUGCCGCCAUGGCCGCCAGAGCUCCGGGCUGAGUUUCUGCCACUUGAGAUCCUGCCGCCAUCGUGUUCCACCGCCGUUACCGUCACUGGUGUUUUUGCUCGCGAUUGUCACUUGGGGUUACUGACGGAGCCACUGCCGGGUUGAUAAGGAGCUGCGGCUGCUUCAUUUUGUUAUUUCAGAGUUAGAAUCUGGUUUGCUUAUGCUGCUUGUAGCUAUUUCUACUUUCGAGAGAGCAAGCCGAGUCGGGUUCUGAUUGCCGGUGAUUUCAGGCAGAGCGAAAAGAGUUCAGUUGACACGUUUGGGUUAUGAUUUUGGCGUUUUGAGGGAAGAAGAGGCUAGGCAAGGAAGCAACAAAAUCAAUAAAGGAAGCUUAAAGAUCACAUGUGAAGUUUAAGUUCCAGUUUAAGCUUAAACUGGAACUUAAACUACCAAGCCAUAUAAUGCUGAAAGUGGCGUUUAACCUCCAGUUUAACCUUAAACUGAAAGUUAAACGCCAGAAUGAGAAAUGCACCAAAGCUGAAAGUGGCGUUUAACCUCCAGUUUAACCUUAAACUGGAAGUUAAACGCCAGAAUCAUGAAAGCUAAGAAGAGCUGAAAGUGGCGUUUAACCUCCAGUUUAACCUUAAACUGGAAGUUAAACGCCAGGAGUAAGAAAGGCACCAGGAGCAUUUCCACGUUUAAG